rnacentral:rRNA from 1 species
UGAGGAAUAUUGGUCAAUGGGCGGAAGCCUGAACCAGCCAAGUCGCGUGAGGGAAGACGGUCCUAUGGAUUGUAAACCUCUUUUGCAGGGGAGCAAGGCCUGUUACGAGUAACAGGUUGGAGAGUACCCUGAGAAAAAGCAUCGGCUAACUCCGUGCC